GACGAACGCUGGCGGCGUGCUUAACACAUGCAAGUCGAACGGAAAGGCCCUGCUUUUGUGGGGUGCUCGAGUGGCGAACGGGUGAGUAACACGUGAGUAACCUGCCCUUGACUUUGGGAUAACUUCAGGAAACUGGGGCUAAUACCGGAUAGGAGCUCCUGCUGCAUGGUGGGGGUUGGAAAGUUUCGGCGGUUGGGGAUGGACUCGCGGCUUAUCAGCUUGUUGGUGGGGUAGUGGCUUACCAAGGCUUUGACGGGUAGCCGGCCUGAGAGGGUGACCGGCCAAAUUGGGAAUGAGAUACGGCCCAGACUCCUAAGGGAGGCAGCAGUGGGGAAUAUUGCACAAUGGGCGGAAGCCUGAUGCAGCAACGCCGCGUGCGGGAUGACGGCCUUCGGGUUGUAAACCGCUUUCGCCUGUGACGAAGCGUGAGUGACGGUAAUGGGUAAAGAAGCACCGGCUAACUACGUG
rnacentral:rRNA from 1 species